rnacentral:rRNA from 1 species
GAUGAACGCUGGCGGCGUGCCUAACACAUGCAAGUCGAACGGCCAGACGAUGAGCUUGCGCUCCUACGGGUAGCGGCGGGCGGACGGGUGACAAGUAGAUCACCUUCCUCUUAUACUUGGAUGAUAUCGGGGAGAAGCAUAGAAUACUACCGCAUACGACCUACGGGAUGGUUCAAUGGUUCUUCGGACCUUGCCCGUCUCAUUGAGAUGGCGCCGGAUUAGCUAGUUGGGGUGGUAACGGCCUACCAAGGCGAGGCUCCGUAGCCGAGCUGAGAGGAUGAUCGGCCACACUGGAACUGAGACACGGUCCAGACUCCUACGGGAGGCAGCAGUGGGGAAUAUUGGGCAAUGGGCGCAAGCCUGACGCAGCCAGACCGCGUGAGUGAUGAAGGCCUUCGGGUCGUAAAGCCCUGUUAUUGGGGAAGAACAGCUGUCUGCGUAAACCUGGCGGUAUUGACGGUACCUAAAGAAGAAGCACCGGCUAACUACGUG